UACGAAGGGGGCUAGCGUUGUUCGGAUUUACUGGGCGUAAAGCGCACGUAGGCGGUUUGUUAAGUCAGGGGUGAAAUCCCGGAGCUCAACUCCGGAACUGCCUUUGAUACUGGCAAGCUAGAGUCCGGAAGAGGUAAGUGGAACUCCUAGUGUAGAGGUGGAAUUCGUAGAUAUUAGGAAGAACACCAGUGGCGAAGGCGGCUUACUGGUCCGGAACUGACGCUGAGGUGCGAAGGCUAGGGUAGCAAACAGG
rnacentral:rRNA from 1 species